UGCGAGGCCGGUAAGGGUGAAAGGGUGGGGUAAGAGCCCACCGCGUGCCUGGCAACAGGGACGGCAUGGCAAGCCCCGCCUGGAGCAAGACCAAAUAGGGACAUCGCGCGGGGUUCGCCCUGCGGGGCUCACCGCCUCAGAUGUCCGGGUAGGUCGCGAGAACCGUCCGGCAACGGGCGGUCCAGAGGAAUGAUCGUCACCGCUUUCGGGCGGUACAGAACCCGGCUUACAGGCCGUCUGACAUU
rnacentral:RNase_P_RNA from 1 species